ACCACCCUCCAAGCCUAAGUACUCCUUACCGACCGAUAGUGAACUAGUACCGUGAGGGAAAGAUGAAAAGUACCCCGAUGAGGGGAGUGAAACAGUACCUGAAACCGGAUGCUUACAAGCUGAGGGAGCUCUUCGGAGUGACCUCGUACCUUUUGUAUAAUGGGUCAACGACUUAGUGUUGUAUGCAAGCUUAAGCCGAUAGGUGUAGGCGCAGCGAAAGCGAGUCUGAAUAGGGCGACCGAGUAUGCAGCAUUAGACCCGAAGGCAAGUGAUCUAGGUAUGGGCAGGGUGAAGGUGCAGUAACAUGCACUGGAGGCCCGAACCGUUGAGCGUUGAAAAGCUCUCGGAUGACCUGUGCCUAGGGGUGAAAGGCCAAUCAAACUUGCUGAUAGCUGGUUCUCCGCGAAAUCUAUUUAGGUAGAGCGUCGACCGAAUACCCUCGGGGGUAGAGCACUGGAUGGGCUAGGGGUCCUCACCGGAUUACCAAACCUAACCAAACUCCGAAUACCGAG
rnacentral:rRNA from 1 species